rnacentral:rRNA from 1 species
CCUACGGGUGGCAGCAGUGAGGAAUAUUGGUCAAUGGACGAGAGUCUGACCCAGCAAAGUAGCGUGAAGGAUGACUGCCCUAUGGGUUGUAAACUUCUUUUAUAUGGGAAUAAAAUGUUCCUCGUGUGGGAUUUUGUAUGUACCAUAUGAUUAAGGAUCGGCUAACACCGUGACAGCAGCCGCGGGAAUAAGGAGGGUCCGAACGUUAUCCGGAUUUAUUGGGUUUAAAGGGAACGUAGGUGGAUUUUUAAUGCAGUUGUGAAAGUUUGCGGCUCAACCGUAAAAUUGCAGUUGAAACUGGCAGGCUUGAGUACAAUAGAGGUGAGCGGAAUUCGUGGUGUAGCGGUGAAAUGCUUAGAUA